rfam:Actinobacteria bacterium RBG_16_67_10 RBG_16_scaffold_35862_b, whole genome shotgun sequence.
GCCGGGGUGGCGGAACGGGUGAGACGCGCCUGCCUUAAAAGCAGGUGUCCCUUAGCGGGACGUGUGGGUUCGACUCCCACCCCCGGCA